GAAGAACAGAAAAGGACACGGUAAAAAGGAGGAAGGGACGGAGCGCGAGAGAGAAGCCCUGCGACAAGAAGCGCGCUACGGAAAGAUGUGAUCUUUCGUGAUAGUUUACUGAUGGUGAAUGCUAAGAUCUGUCGGUCCUCUUCGUGCAUCGUCUUGAUUUCUUUUAGCCAAAAAUGCGGGUGGAGGGAUCGUAGUUUCUCGGCAGUCGGAGUGCUAGAUUUCUUUCUACACGCAUGUUCUUCGAUCUGGUGAUUCUUUCUCUAAUGUUUUCCUCCGAGAUUCGAAGCAAAAUCUUUGGAAAGAUUUGUCUUUUCCGUUUCGAAUGCGUAGAUCGAAGAAUUGUAAUGGUGAAGAAGAGGUUAAGAAAAAUUCUCCUUCUCUAGUUGAAUCCUUCUCUGGCGCUCAAAAAGGAGGAAUUUUUAGGAGAUUUUAUUGCGGUUGUUGUUAUUCGUAGCACAAAAUCUGUUGGUGUUCUCUUGGUCAGCGGGUUGGCGUUCGCCGCAAUCGCCAUGUGCUGCUGCGCCGCUUAGCUUUUCCUCCUCUCGUUCGGUGCCCAUUUCGAUCUACAUUUUAGGUUUCCUUCCGCCCGAGUCGAGGUGCCACGAUGGCGAGUUGGGAGCAACUGGGGGAGCUCUCGACGGUGGCGCAGCUGACGGGCCUCGACGCCGGCCGCCUCAUCGGGCUGAUCGUGCAGGCGGCGACCACCGCGCGGAUGCACAGGAAGAACUGCCGCCAGUUCGCGCAGCACCUGAAGCUGAUCGGCAAUCUUUUGGAGCAGCUUAAGAUCUCGGAGCUCAAGAAGUACCCUGAGACGAGGGAGCCCCUGGAGCAGCUCGAGGACGCCCUCCGGCGCUCCUACAUUCUCGUGGAUAGCUGUCAGAACAGGAGUUAUUUGUACCUUCUGGCCAUGGGAUGGAACAUCGUCUACCAGUUCAGAAGGGCUCAGAAUGAGAUCGAUCGAUAUCUUCGACUCGUUCCGCUCAUCACUCUCGUCGACAAUGCUCGGGUCAGAGAGAGGCUAGAUUCCAUUGCAAGGGAUGAGCGGGAGUAUACUUUGGAUGAAGAAGACAGAAAGGUGCAAGAUGCUAUUUUGGAUCGUGAUCCAUCUACAAACCAUACCACAGUUCUCGAGAAGUCACUGUCUUGUUCUUAUCCAAACAUGCCAUUUGAUGAGGCCCUUAAGAAAGAAAGACAAAAGCUCCAAAUGGAACUCCAAAGAUCACAAGUAACCAUGGAUAUUGGUCAGUGUGAGGUGAUCCAGCAUUUGAUUGGAGUGACACACAAUGUGGCUACCACUUUAGAAGAAAAAAGUACACAUCUCAAAAGUCCAAAGAAAGUUGAGCUAAGUUAUUCUGGUGACAAUAGUUACAAAGAACAUACUUUUGAUGAGAACUAUCAUGAGCAAGUUACAAAAUCAACUUAUAGAACCGGUUCACCACAUUCAUCGGGUCAUGAUAUGAUUUCACACAGAGGACUUCACGGGCAUGAAGAGUGGCAUUCAGACUUGCUUGGAUGUUGUUCAGAGCCUUCAUUAUGUUUCAAAACUUUCUUCUAUCCUUGCGGUACAUUUUCACAGAUUGCUUCUGUAGCGAAAAACAGACCAGUCUCUUCAGCGGAAGCAUGUAAUGACUUGAUGGCAUAUUCAUUAGUAUUGUCAUGCUGUUGUUACACCUGCUGUGUUAGAAGGAAGCUACGAAACAUGUUCAACAUUACGGGAGGGCUUUGUGAUGAUUUCUUGUCACAUCUACUGUGCUGUUGUUGUGCACUAGUUCAAGAAUGGCGUGAGGUGGAGAUUCGUGGGGUUAAAGGCACUUGGAAGACACAAACCAAUCCACCAGCUUCUCAGUACAUGGAAUUCUAAGCGUCAGCUUGGAGGAGAUUUGUUGCUGUGUAGGUGUAUCUAUCUAAUUGACUGCAACAGAGGGUUUACUUCUCCUUUCGCCUCAUCCGAUGGCCAAGCCAUGGCAAAAACGAUCCCCUUGAAGAGCUUAGACGGCGAGAUGUUCAAGGUGCAUGCGACGGUGGCGAUGGAGUCCUAGACCAUCGGGCACAUGAUCGAGAAUGGCAACUCCCUCCCCAACGUCACCACCAGUAUCCUCAUUAAGGACAUUUGAGUACUACAGAAGUUUUUUUGAUUUGUUGGUGUUAGGAAAAAAUAUCGUUGACGUCUUAGUCAGCUCGAUGUGGUUUGGACUCGUAUGCGUAAGAUUGUUUGAGAUAUCUUUGAGGUAGGAACUACAAGUUUCUUUGGUGUCAUUUGCAUGUAAAUCAAGGUUAUAAAAGGUUUCUCGACCUAGUCCUUUCAACGCUUGAGUUAGUAGCUUGUAAGUGUGGAGAAUAGUCAAAAG